rnacentral:rRNA from 1 species
ACCAACGACUGUGCCACGUUGAGUACACCAGUUCUCGUCUGAUCACUGAAGCUAAGAGCGUGGUUAGUUCUUGGAUGGGUGACUGUUUGGGAGAUCACGUGUUGUUGGUU